CUGGGUUGGUGCAGCAUGAAGACAAGGCCUGGUUGGUGGAGCAUGGGGACAGGCCCUGGUUGGUGGAGCAUGAAGACAAGGCCUGGUUGGUGGAGCAUGAAGACAAGGCCUGGUUGGUGGAGCAUGGGGACAGGCCCUGGUUGGUGGAGCAUGAAGACAAGGCCUGGUUGGUGGAGCAUGGAGACAGGCCCUGGUUGGUGGAGCAUGGAGACAGGCCCUGGUUGGUGGAGCAUGGAGACAGGCCCUGGUUGGUGGAGCAUGAAGACAGGCCCUGGUUGGUGGAGCAUGGAGACAGGCCCUGGUUGGUGCAGCAUGAAGACAGGCCCUGGUUGGUGCAGCAUGGGGACAAGGCCCUGGUUGCUGGAGCAUGAAAACAGGCCCUGGUUGCUGGAGCAUGAAAACAGGCCCUGGUUGGUGGAGCAUGGGGACAGGCCCUGGUUGGUGGAGCAUGGGGACAGGCCCUGGUUGGUGCAGCAUGGGGACAAGGCCCUGGUUGCUGGAGCAUGAAAACAGGCCCUGGUUGGUGGAGCAUGAAGACAGGCCCUGGGUUGGUGCAGCAUGAAGACAAGGCCUGGUUGGUGGAGCAUGGGGACAGGCCCUGGUUGGUGGAGCAUGAAGACAAGGCCUGGUUGGUGCAGCAUAGGGACAGGGCCUGGUUGGUGGAGCAUGGAGACAGGCCCUGGUUGGUGGAGAAUGAAGACAAGGCCUGGUUGGUGCAGCAUAGGGACAGGGCCUGGUUGGUGGAGCAUGGCGACAGGCCCUGGUUGGUGGAGCAUGAAGACAAGGCCUGGUUAGUGCAGCAUGAAGACAAGGCCUGGUUGGUGGAGCAUGAAGACAAGGCCUGGUUGGUGGAGCAUGAAGACAAGGCCUGGUUAGUGCAGCAUAGGGACAGGGCCUGGUUGGUGGAGCAUGAAGACAAGGCUUGGUUGGUGGAGCAUGAAGACAGGACAUCAACAGAGCUUGGUGUUUAUUACCAGAGGUCAAGACAUCAACAGAGCUUGGUGUUUAUUACCAGAGGUCAAGACAUCAACAGAGCUUGGUGUUUAUUACCAGAGGUCAGGACAUCAACAGAGCUUGGUGUUUGUCAGAUGUAUUAUAGGUCAUCAGAUGACCUAAUGUUGGAGAAAUACCCCACAAUGGUACAGAUCAUGAAUACUCCCAUUUGCCCUGGUAAAAUGUAUUUAGUAACAUAAAGAAAAUUACAUUUUCACAAACUCUGGGCAGAGUGAGUGUGCGUGUUUGAGGCAGCCCAAUUCUGAUAUUUAUUUCACCAUUUUUAUAAUUUAACCUUUAUUUAACUAGGCAAGUCAGUUGAGAACAAAUUCUAAUUUUCAAUGAAGGUCUAGGAACAGUGUGUUAACUGCCUUGUUCAGGGGAACAGUGGGUUAACUGCCUUGUUCAGGGGAACAGUGGGUUAACUGCCUUGUUCAGGGGAACAGUGUGUUAACUGCCUUGUUCAGGGGAACAGUGGGUUAACUGCCUUGUUCUUAGGGGAACAGUGUGUUAACUGCCUUGUUCUUAGGGGAACAGUGUGUUAACUGCCUUGUUCUUAGGGGAACAGUGUGUUAACUGCCUUGUUCUUAGGGGAACAGUGUGUUAACUGCCUUGUUCUUAGGGGAACAGUGUGUUAACUGCCUUGUUCAGGGGAACAGUGUGUUAACUGCCUUGUUCAGGGGAACAGUGUGUUAACUGCCUUGUUCAGGG
ensembl:lncRNA